UACGAAGGGGGCUAGCGUUGCUCGGAAUCACUGGGCGUAAAGGGUGCGUAGGCGGGUCUUUAAGUCAGGGGUGAAAUCCUGGAGCUCAACUCCAGAACUGCCUUUGAUACUGAGGAUCUUGAGUCCGGGAGAGGUGAGUGGAACUGCGAGUGUAGAGGUGAAAUUCGUAGAUAUUCGGAAGAACACCAGUGGCGAAGGCGGCUCACUGGUCCGGUACUGACGCCGAUGUGCGAAAGCGUGGGGAGCAAACAGG
rnacentral:rRNA from 1 species